GGUGGAUGGAGGGGGUGCUAGGGACAGCUUUUGGGAAAGGAGUGAGGACCAUAUGCGCAUGGAGUAACUGCAUGUGAGGAAGAGGUGGUCAGCAGUUUCCUCAGCUUGAUAACAGAGCACACCUUGCGGAGGAGCAGGGAAGUUCCGCUUCUUGAGAUUUUCUGCUAUGAAGAUUUUAUUAUGAAAGACUAACCAGUUGAACACCUUGAUCCUUGAUAGAAUCGGCAUUCUCAAGUUAACCUUGGAAAAGCUUGAGAGAAUACCUCCAUGACUUAGGGAUGAC
rnacentral:lncRNA from 1 species